GAUGAACGCUGGCGGCGUGCCUAAUACAUGCAAGUCGAGCGAACGGACGAGAAGCUUGCUUCUCUGAUGUUAGCGGCCGACGGGUGAGUAACACGUGGAUAACCUACCUAUAAGACUGGGAUAACUUCGGGAAACCGGAGCUAAUACCGGAUGAUAUUUUGAACCGCAUGGUUCAAAAGUGAAAGACGGUCUUGCUGUCACUUAUAGAUGGAUCCGCGCUGCAUUAGCUAGUUGGUAAGGUAACGGCUUACCAAGGCAACGAUGCAUAGCCGACCUGAGAGGGUGAUCGGCCACACUGGAACUGAGACACGGUCCAGACUCCUACGGGAGGCAGCAGUAGGGAAUCUUCCGCAAUGGGCGAAAGCCUGACGGAGCAACGCCGCGUGAGUGAUGAAGGUCUUCGGAUCGUAAAACUCUGUUAUUAGGGAAGAACAUAUGUGUAAGUAACUGUGCACAUCUUGACGGUACCUAAUCAGAAAGCCACGGCUAACUACGUG
rnacentral:rRNA from 1 species